GUGUGUGUGUUGUAGUGGCCUGAGUGUUGGACUCUGACUCCGGAGACCAGGGUUCAAAUCCCAGCUUGGCCA